UGGAGUAUUACAGAAUUUCGGGCUCGGCUCGGCUCUCCCCCCUUUGUGAACGUACCUCUGUUGCUUUGGCGGCUCCGGCCCCCUUUUGAGCUCCAAACUCCAGUCAGUAAACGCAGACGUCUGACCCUUUAGUUAAUAAACUAAAACUUUCAACAACGGUAUCUCUUGGGUUCUGGCAUCUGAUGAAGAACGCAGCAAAACA
rnacentral:rRNA from 1 species